UGUGUCUGGAGCGCCCUCUAGUGCUGGUAGGGCAUCAGAGGGCAGGUCAGUGGGAGUGGGCUUGCCCUCAGCCUGCUCCUCAUUGGGGGUGUUCAGGUUUGAUGGGGAAUGUUUGCUGUUGGUGCAAGUGGACCUGAAUGAAAAUACAUUUAAGAUGGAAGAAGACAGAAACACAACUGUUAAGCAUUCUGUCAGGAUACUUCUCUGGAGGAUGAAAAAACAUGAUGAAUUGAAAGGUGCAAGGUUAUGGCCUGCUCAAAUGAUUGGCAGAAUCUCCACCUCAAUGUCUGUGUUGUAAAACUGUCGGCCCACCUGAGAGAGCUGCCCUACAGAGAAGCCACAACAGACGUUUUUUGAAUUUUAAACAGCCUGAGGCUACAAACACUGUGGCUGACCAGCUUUCACUGUUUUCGUUUAUCGGAUCCACAUUCACAGUGGACGAAGCGGAUGUUGACAGUAACAUCAAUGUCCAGUCCCACCCCGCAGACGUCUCGCAGCCCAACCCAGAGCCCAACCCGUCUCCACCCCAAUCGACGGACUGUACGCCAGAGCCCCCCGCAGACUGGAUGCUUCUGCCUGCCGUGACCGGUGAGCCAGUACCUCAGGAAAGGAGGACAACGCACACCAUCGACCCAGAGUCGAAGCUGAUAGACGUGUCUGACCCGGGGUGUGAGCCGACGUCAUGUUCCAGUACCUCGUGGAAUAUGAGGGUAUGAAUGCGAGUCCCACCCACCUCUUGAAACAGCCAUCAGGACUGCUUUAUUUUUCGUUGGGUUUUGUUCUGUUCUCCCAUCUGUCUCUCUGUCCUCAGCCUCACCUACCACACAGUCGUCAGUGUUCCCCAUCAGUCCCGCUGCAUCUCCAUCACCUCUCUCAGUGGCGUGGACACUCCGCGGACCUGCCGGGAACCACUUCCUCAUGGGUGUCUUGAGCUCGUGGCUCCGCCUACAGCCUCUGAGCAUGCUGAUCCACCUCAACCGGUCGUCCUGACUCCUACGCCGAUGCUCCUUCCACACUCGUUUCCGGCAGUGACCAUCAGCCAUUCGGCCUCACCGGAUUCCUUCGGACCGUCGGCUCUACCCAGGUCAGACCUCGCCAGGCCUCCACGUCGGACUUACGGGCCGUCCGUUGCCCUCCGGCCCUCCACCCCUUCGGCUCCGGCAAGCUCCACCUUCCCUGAGGCAUCACCUCCGCCCUCACUCAUCCCAGCUCGACCUCUGGCCUCCGGAUCCCUACCGUCUCCUCGGAGGGGCGCCGCUUUGGCUCCGUCACGGCCACCCUGGUCUUCAGCGUCCCAUCACUCCCUCAGCUCUCCGGCGGUGUCGUGGGCUUGCCAAACCAAAGUUAUAGUUCCAUUGAUCGUCACCAGGAUGUCGACAGCCGAGUCGACACAUUGGCUCCUCCCUCCAUCUACUCCACCGUGGGCUGUGGUUCUGGUCAGGCUCUGGGUCUGCACCAUCUGGGCUCUCUAUACUUCUCCUCCGUGGCUGCUACCUCCAUCUACUCCUCCAUGGUUUAUUCCAUCUGCCUCGACCUUCUCUCUGCCUGCUCCUCUCUCCAUCCCUGCGUCUUCUCCUCACCCACCUCCCAAGCCCCCACCAUCCCUCCUUCUGCUCUUCUGUUACGGCGCGAGGACGCGCCUUUCCGAGAGGGGGCGUAAUGUUACAGUUUCGUUUAGUUAGUUUCAUUCUCAUGGACUCUUAUUUUGUCACUUUCAGUCACAUGUGUUCCAUUGUUUAGUUUUCCAGCUUCUCCUUUGUUGUCAUGGUUACUUAUAUGAUUUGCUAUCACUCUCAGCUGUUUCCGUUUAAUCUCCUCAUUUACCUGUGUAUUUAAGUUCCUGUGUUUUCAGUGCAUGUUGUCCGGUCUCGUUUAUGUUAUGCUGUUGCUACCCUGUUGGAAUCUCCUGUGUUUUAUUAAAGACUUACUAGAAUACUCAUCUUCA